AAAGAGAAGAUGCAUGAGGAGUGUACAUGCCUCAGAACUGGAUGCUGAGACAUGCCCCCGCGAUCCCAAGACCACCAGGUACCGUGAGCAAUCACUGGAGCUGGAACACUGCUGCCUGAGGAAGAGAAGAAGUGCAGGCUUGUCAUUGUCUAUGCUGUUACUUGUGGUUCCCGGGUCUUCAGAGAGGAUGCACAAGAACGGGAGGACUGGCCCCUGGGAUUUUCUGCUCAGGACCCGAGUUCACUGAGACAUCAGGAGCAAGCACUGGAGGCCGGUGCUGCUGGACCCAGAUGGGAGCCAUGCAGGACUUGACCAUGGCCUGCACACACUUCUUCCCAGGAGAAGGGGAAUGAGGAAGAACUGGACCAGAAGAUUUAACUUCCAUACCACAAGCACUGGGGUAGAAGACUGCUGCUGGGUGAAGAGACUCAAGACUUGAUCAUUGAGGAGCCACUCACUGAUGUCUUCAGUGCUGCAUGAGGAAGAGUUUAUUCUUCUGGAUUUGGUGGUGGAUUCUGGUGAAGAUACAGAUGGAUGCUCUGGCUGAGUCGCUACCUUGAAAUGAAAAUGGGAGGUAAACUCUCCCAUAGAUGAAUCUUCUUCAUUUUGAAGNNAUUCCUUUUUAUCCAUUUAAUUAUUUAGUACAAAAUCAGGUCCAGUCUCCUUAGAUAUGGCAUUGAUAUAAAGUGUAAAAUGGAAGCUAAAUUCUAGGAGUACAGCAUUGCAUGCUUCUGACAGAGACAAGGAAGGCUAGAAUCACACAGUUAGUGGACACUGCAACUAUAUUGACAUUUUUUUUUUUUUAGACUGUGAAGGUGGGGACAGAUUGCUGCACUCAGAACACCUUCCCUGCUCUGGGGAAACAAACACUGUCAUCAUGGGGAAAAUGUUUCCUGUAGACCCACACAAGCACACACCCCUCCUCCUACAUCCAGCUUCUCCUCAGCCAUUUUGAAGCAGGGAAGAUCAGGGGGAUUCAUGAAUGGCGAAAUUUGGCCUUUUUUAGUGUAUUUCUCUCCUUCUGUAGGCAGACUGGCAUCACCUGACCCUUCAGAGUAUUAACUCAGACCCUGGUGACUGAGGUCCAGUACCAAGUGCUCAGCUGGGCUGCGGUGCAGGGACAGGAAGCAGAAGGGCAGAUUCAACCCCCCUCAGCUGGCCAUGCUAAUCUACUAGCUGGUGUCCUAGGGCAGCAAGGCGCCUCCCUCUCCAGGAUCUGAUGAGAAAACACUGCAGUUCCAGUUUCUUUCGGGGCUUGAAGAGAAGUCAAGGAAGCCCUGCAAGGCACUCACAGCUGAUCAUGCUUUCUGUAAUCGCCCUCCAUCUUCCUUCAUUGCUAGGAAUCAUUGGAAGGACAACAGCGGAGCUGUGAGUUUUGAAACCGCGUCCUCAUGGGGGCAGUAGAGGUCCACACAAGAGCUUAACUGGCCCCUGGGAUUUGCUGCUCAGAACCUGAGUUCACUGAGACAUCAGGAGCAAGUACUGGAGGCCGGUGCUGCUGGACCCAGAUGGGAGCCAUGCGGGACUUGACCAUGGCCUGCACACACUUCUUCCCAGGAGAAGGGGAGUGAGGAAGAACCGGCCCCUGGGAUUUGCUGCUCAGGACCCGAGUUCACUGAGACAUCAGGAGCAAGCACUGGAGGCCGGGUGCUGCUGGACCCAGAUGGGAGCCAUGCAGGACUUGACCAUGGCCUGCACACACUUCUUCCCAGGAGAAGGGGAAUGAGGAAGAAAGGCUCAUGGCGUCUAUGUCGUAAAUGAGCUGUGGAUUUGCUAUGCCCCUUCUCUUCAGCAACCCUUAUUUUUCUUGCCUGUACAUCUCUACUGUGGGAAUCACAGGGAAGCUGCUGCAGCACAACUUGAAAUAGAAAGCUGGAUGGUAUGAAUUUAGGACAAGAACAUGAGAAGAAGGGCUCCAGAGAGGAUUCAUUAAGAGCAUUUUCUGCUCUUCCAGAAGCAUCCGAGUUUGGUGUGGGCACCCAAGUCAUUAGGCUCAGAGCUGCUUGGCACCAGGAGAUGUCAGGAAGCUGGUAUAAAUCCUCAUGGGACUUGAAGGGCGAGUGGCCUGAAGUGGGUCACAAGUGAUCAGGGAUUCUCAAACUGCUGUUCCCAGCUUGCAUUUAAAAAUGGGAAAUAACUCAAAAGACAAUUGCAAACUCUCUGCAGUCAAGAUGGCUCCUGCUUGUAAUCUCAGUGUUCAGAAGGUAGGAAAGGACUACUGUGAGCACCAGGUCAGCCUGGACUAGAGAGAAGACUUUGUGUCAAAGAACGAAGUUUUAUAAAGGGCAGUCUUGUGGGGUAGAGGCAUGGCAGUAUACGAAGCACGUGUGCGUGUUUCUGUGUGUUUCUUGCUCUUGUCCAUGCUAGAAGCAGAACUUCAUUGUACCGUCACUGCUCCCACAGUACUAUACCUGCUGGAUCCAGAACUGCGGCAGGGUAAGACCAGCCAGGACAAGCCAGUGCCAGGUGGCACAGGUGUUUGGAAAAGGCCUGACGUGUACCCAACUGUGUGAAGGAAUGGGGGACCCAAAACACAGGGCAAAGAAUUAUGCUUCCAUCCACGAGAGCAAAGGUGUGGGGGGGGGGGCUGGGGGGGAUAGAUUCCAUAUGAACAUUUUGAAGAUGUGUAAUUGGAACAAAAUUGAAUUUCAUAUAAGACAUAGUAGCAAGCUCCAUACAGUUUACUUUAUCGUAUCUUAAUGUCUUCUCAAGUAAAAUACAGAAGUCCAUAAAUUCAAAAUAUAUACUAAUAUGAAUAUAUGCCACAGUUUAAGGUGAUGACAAAGACUUUGUGUAAAGCUAUGUCUGUUAAUGUUGACGACUGUUAGAAUGUUUUUUAUGGGCAACAUGCAUAUCUAUUUUAUAAUUUAAUAACUAAAGGGGUGUUCAUGAAAAUCUUGAGUGUAUGAGAAUGCUGUAGCUAUGUACCGAAAGCUCUCAGUGAGCACUGCUGGGUGAGACUAUAUUUGAGAAGCCAGGUUUAAACAUCUUUUGUUGAGGUUUUCUUUUUCCUAAUGGAUUUUGAAGAUGUGGUUUGCUUUUUCUAUUUAGAAUAGUCAUACUUAUAAAGUCCACCUAGGCUGGCCUAUAACUGGCAAUUCUCUCUCAGUCUGGUAUUAUAGAUAUGCAAAGUUAAGCAUUAAACAACAAAAAUUAUGUAGAGAUCUUCUCUCAAAAACACUAAGAAAAUCAUAACUUCUGAGUAGUUAUGAUUUUGAGAUUCCUCCCUAUACAUUUUUAUAUGUGAUUCCUCAUAUUAAUUUUAUAUGUAUUAUACACAAAAUACAUUCAAGUACUUUUAUCUAUAGAUGAAUAAAUAUAAAUAAAAACCUUAAUAAUUUGCCAUAAAUAAA
ensembl:processed_transcript